UACGAAGGGGGCUAGCGUUGCUCGGAAUCACUGGGCUUAAAGGGUGCGUAGGCGGCGCUGCAAGUGCCUUGUGAAAUCCCAUCGCUUAACGAUGGAACUGCUCGGUAGACUGCAGUGCUUGAGGUUGGUAGGGGCUGCCGGAACUCUAGGUGGAGCGGUGAAAUGCGUAGAUAUCCGGAGGAACACCGAUGGCGAAGGCAGCUGCCUGGCCUGACACUGACGCUGAGGUGCGAAAGCGUGGGGAGCGAACGGG
rnacentral:rRNA from 1 species